rnacentral:rRNA from 1 species
CGAUUGAAGUCAGUCGUGCAGUCAUCAACUCAGCGGGUAACGUGAGUAAUUUAUUGCUUACGUUUUCCGUGUACUUUGUUGUCUGCUGGUUAGCAUCAAUUUUGAUUGUCAUAAAAAGGUUAAGGGGAUGUGGCUCCUUCGGGAGUGUUAUAACCCUUAGCGGAAUGUGGCGAUUGGGAUUGAGGAUUGCAACGAAUACCUUUAGGGCGAGUUCCGUCUGGUCUCUUGUUUGACGUUCAGAUAGCAACAGCUUGCU